AAUUUCCCACUCGUGUGCACAACCAAUUUAAAGGGACAGCUUUUUCGAGAGAACAAAAACGCCGACAGAGGGUGUCGUCUCUGGUGCACUCUGUGAUGCUACCUCGCAUCGGCUUUUCUAUAGAAUCCUGCCAUUAAUGGCGCGUAUCAUUAUGUCAAGAAGAGUUAUGUGAAAUUUUAGUAUCUUACUACAAUUACGAAGUAAGAUUUCGAUGAAAUGAAUUCAAUUAAAUGAGUUACGUUACAUGCAUUUAAAAAUACUAUAUCUUUUUCUCUACUCUUCUUUAUUGUGUAACGAAAUUGGUGUUGAAGUAAGAAAAGUCUGAACAAUUUGUAAACAUUUAUAAUGAUGAUAAAGAAGAAAAAAGUAUGUGAUUUAUAAGAGACGUUUUGAUUUUUAAAAGAUAAUUUAAAUAAUCAAAAUCUUACAAAUAUAGUGUUGAUGGUAUUUGGCAAGAAAUCAAAUUUUAUAAUAAAAUAUAUAAUAAUUUGCUAUGAUAAUUUAUUUUUUGUAUGAUGGAUCCUGAGAAUUCUAUUAUGUUAGAAUCAUGUGGGGAGGAGUCGAUUUUGAUCCGAACUGUAAAAAACAUGGUCAAUGAAAGCACACGUAGUGAAUUAGAAAGCGAAGAAGAAGGAUAUUUUGUAGUAACAAAUGUUCAAGAUGAACAACAAGAUGUAAUUGAAGUUUCAAAUGAGGGAUCAACAGUAAUGCAAUUGGAAGAACGAUUUUCUUGGUCCAAUUUAUGCAGAAUAUGUGCUAAUACCAAUGAUCACAUAAUCCCAAUAUUUGAUGGAGAAGGAUUACAACAUGAUUUGUGUAAUAAGAUACACAAAUAUUUACCAAUACAGAUAUCUGAAAAUGAUACGCUUCCUUUACAAUUAUGUUACCAUUGUGCUGCUACAUUAUUAGCAUGGCAUGAGUUGUCAGAAGGAUGUUUAAAUGCAGAAAGACGAUUAUUAGAAAUGCAAGGUGCUCUACAAGAAAAACAAAGUUCAGUGAAACUAGAGGCUUCCAUGCAGGAGGAUACUAUCUCUAUAUCUAAUGUAACGGAAUCUCUUCAUCAACAACAAGGCUCUGCAGGAAAGGAUGAAACUUGUGGAGAAUCAGCUGUUAAUGAUUUAGACAGGUCUGGUCUACCUCAGAAGAAAUCCUUCACUACAUGGCGCAUGACAGCCAAUGAUUGUACAGUUCCUCAAAAAUUCAUUGAAAGCAUGAAUGAUGACAGUAAUUCACUUGACAACUGUGACAGUACGGAGUUUAAUACGGCAGAAAUGACGAGAACAUUGUCACCUCCAAAUUGUCCAAACGACACAGUACCACAGUUAAAAAAGUAUACUACUUCAAAGCAUCAACAUGCAUGCAAAAAUUGUCAACGCGUUUUCAUGAGAGAAUACCAUUUGAUACGGCACAUGUCUAAGUGUAAAACUAAAUCUGUCAGGAAAAGAACUGAAAGUUCCAGGGAUAAGAACAUGCAGGAUAAAAGUCAAAAGAAGUGGAACUUGUUUCAGAAAUAUAAAAGGAAAAGGCUGCAAUCGCACCCUUGCAUGUAUUGCGAUUACACGAGUACAAAGAAGAAGUUAUUAGAGUUGCAUUUGAUGGAGUCGCAUCCAGAAUUCAAUGGAAAAAAGGAUAAGAAACUAAAAUGUGCUGAUCGUGAACUGGUGAUGCGUGCUAGAAUGGAGAUCGAUGGAAAAGUUUAUUAUCACUGUAACGAAUGUGGUAAAAAUCUUUAUUCACCGUACACAUUUUCCUGGCAUAUGCGAAUACACACAGGAGAACGUCCAUAUACUUGUCAUCUCUGCGGAAAACAAUUUCGAGUGAAUCAGGGUCUAGCAAGGCAUCUGCGAGACACUCAUGCAGGGAUUAAGAAUUUCCCAUGUGACAUCUGUGGACGAAUGUUUUCCACAAAACGCAACGCUGAAGAUCACAGGCGCAUUCACACCGGGGAACGACCAUAUGUUUGCAACGUUUGUGGCAAAUCAUUCAAACAGAAAGCUUCUCUCUUCGUGCAUAAUCGUACGCAUUCGAACGUUUUCCCUUUCAAAUGCAAUCACUGCGAGCACAGCUUCAGAACGAGACCUUCGCUCAUGGUGCACAUAACUAAACACACGGGCGAGAAGCCACACGCAUGUGACAUAUGUGGUCGAUGUUUUCGUAUAAAAUACGAAUUGAAGCGUCAUAGACUGAUACAUUCCGAUGAAAAACCGUGGCAGUGCACAGACUGCAAUCUUUCAUUUCGACAAAAACGCUAUUUAGUUAAUCAUAAGAAAAGUAAUCAUAACACGAACUCGUUUAUGGCUGCCGCUAAGUAAUGAGAGAACUCUCUUUUCAGGUAUAAUUAUGAAGUGACGAUGUGAGACAGGAGCCAAGCGUUUCGCAAGGCAACGAAAAUAUGGAAAGACGUAAUAACAAUUUCAGAAUUCAGCUACUUUCAAACAAAGUGGAAGACCGAGUCUGAUGGAGUUAUACAAAUAUCUACUGUCGAUAGCGAAAGUACAAAUGCUGAGGAGAUAGAAUACAUCCAAUGCG
rnacentral:misc_RNA from 1 species